UAGUUUCUAAAAUUUUAUUGGUUUCAUUGAAAUUGUAAACAUAAGCGUUGAUUACUAUAAUUCUAGCUAUAGGUUGUGGGUAACCAUUACCACCCUAUUUAACAAACUUCUCAACUUAACCAAAAUUUACGAAUAGCAGCAAAAAGACUUUUUUUUCAAAAGUAGGCUCAGUUGUGGUCUUUAUCUUUAGCUUGUAGGUUAUACUUGGUGCAAAAAGCCUAAUUCAGGUUGGGCACACGCCCCUCCCACAAGUCAAUAAGCACACCACCAAUAAAUGAAUUUCUUGUAGCAAAAAAAAUUUUUAUGUUUUUUAUACUGUAUACUAGUUUCACUUAUUUUAUUAAAUAUAGAAAUAUUUAUUUAUAAUUAGAGAAUUUAAUAUUUUUGAAAUUAAGGUGUGUUAAACCAUCACCACCAUAUCCACCACCAACUUUAAUAAACAUCAAUCAUUGAUGGUCUGGAAUAAAAUUAUAGCAAUUUUUUGUA